AAGGUCUUACUUAGGCCAGCUUCUUGUUCUAGGCCCAGGAAGUACACGAGAAGCUCCGAGGAUGGCUUAAGUCCAACGUCUCUGAUGCGGUGGCUCAGAGCACCCGUAUCAUUUAUGGAGGCUCUGUGACUGGGGCAACCUGCAAGGAGCUGGCCAGCCAGCCUGACGUGGAUGGCUUCCUUGUGGGUGGUGCUUCCCUCAAGCCCGAAUUCGUGGACAUCAUCAAUGCCAAACAAUGAGCCCCAUCCAUUUUCCCUACCCUUCCUGCCAAGCCAGGGACUAAGCAGCCCAGAAGCCCAGUAACUGCCCCUCCCCUGCACAUGCUUCUGAUGGUGUCAUCUGCUCCUUCCUGUGGCCUCAUCCAAACUGUACCUUCAUUUAUUGUUUAUAUCUUCACCCUGUAAUGGUUGGGACCAGGCCAAUCCCU
rnacentral:sRNA from 1 species